UGAACGCUGGCGGCGUGCUUAACACAUGCAAGUCGAACGAGAACGGGUCUAGCUUGCUAGACUGUCAGCUAAGUGGCGCACGGGUGAGUAAUAUAUAGGUAACCUACCCCGAAGAGCGGGAUAACAGUUGGAAACGACUGCUAAUACUGCAUACUCCUUUAGAGCUCAAGUUUUAAAGGGAAAUGAAUUUCGCUUCGGGAUGGGCCUUUAUCGCAUCAGCUAGUUGGUAGGGUAAAGGCCUACCAAGGCGACGAUCGGUAGCUGGUCUGAGAGGAUGGCCAGCCACACUGGGACUGAGACACGGCCCAGACUCCUACGGGAGGCAGCAGUGGGGAAUAUUGGACAAUGGGCGCAAGCCUGAUCCAGCAAUGCCGCGUGUGUGAAGAAGGC
rnacentral:rRNA from 1 species